rnacentral:rRNA from 1 species
UACGGAAGGCAGCAGUGGGGAAUAUUGCACAAUGGGCGCAAGCCUGAUGCAGCCAUGCCGCGUGUAUGAAAAGGCCUUCGGUUGUAAGUACUUUCUAGUCGUGAGGAAGGUGUUAAGGUUAAUAACCUUAGCAAUUGACGUUAGCGACAGAAGAAGCACCGGCUAACUCCGUGCCAGCAGCCGCGGUAAUACGGAGGGUGCGAGCGUUAAUCGGAAUUACUGGGCGUAAAGGGCACGCAGGCGGUUAAUUAAGUUGGAUGUGAAAUCCCCGGGCUUAACCUGGGAAUGGCAUUCAAGACUGGUUAGCUAGAGUCUUGUAGAGGGGGUAGAAUUCCAUGUGUAGCGGUGAAAUGCGUAGAGAUGUGGAGGAAUACCGGUGGGCGAAAGGCGGGCCCCCUGGGACAAAGACUGACGCUCAUGUGCGAAAAGCGUGGGGAGCAAAACAGGGA